rnacentral:tRNA from 4 species
AGGGCAGUGGCUCAAUUGGUAGAGCACCGGUCUCCAAAACCGGUGGUUGGGGGUUCGAGUCCCUCCUGCCCUG